rnacentral:lncRNA from 1 species
GUUUGAAUUUUCUAGAGCAAUAAUUCUGUUCUGAACCAAAUUCAGCAAAAACUGUGCUAGUACCGUAGAGACAAAUGAGAGUUCUAAAACUAAAUUUCUAAACUAAUAAUUAGAUUAAACGGUUAAAGUCUUUCCGUAUAAAAUGUGCUUUGAUAGAAAAACCCCCGCACCAGUGAUAAACACGGUUAUAUAUUCAACAUAGUGCUUCUACAAUAUUCUAAUAUAAUGUUUGUUGUAUCAAUAUGAAAAAGACUAUUUGAUCGACGAAAAAUGAGCGACCAUUUGACAGCCUGCAUUUCAUUUUAUGCACCAAUGAAAAUUUUAAGGCUUAUUACAUCAUUACCAAAACACCGUUUGCAAAUCUUAAAUUAUAGUAUUAGAAGAAGUCUUUUAAUACUAUUGUGUUAUUAACUGGCUG